AUUUGGCCUGGGGAGAACCGCCUUCAGGCGUUUGGACUCAGUGGAGGUUGUGAGUGCCCAGCAGUGUGGCCUGAAUCUCCGUGGGGUUUAGGGAGACGAAAGGACCCCAGAUCGACGUCCCCUCGUUCCCACUUUGGGGAUCGGCGCUCUGGCUGUUUCGUGAAGGAGAGAGAGGUUGAUUCCAUACCCUGGCUAUUGUGAAUAAUGCUGCAGUGAACAUGGGAGUACAUACAUCUGUUUGAGGAACUCAGAGUGGUUUUCCAGAUGGGAAUCACAUUGCUCUCUGUCCCUGAGAUCUUGCUGGAGACAGGGCUACUCAGUCCCUCUUUGCCAGGUAAUCUGUUCCAGAAGAAACAUGUGUCGUUCUGACUGAGCCCCUGCCUGUCUGUCACCUUAAGAGCCAGUCAAUUCAUAUGGUCCCCAUAUCAAAGUCUCCUGUGCCCAGAGAGAGGAUUUCAUUUCAACCAUCACCAUCACCACCAUCAUCAUCAUCACCAAGAGAUGUUGUUGAAUUGAUACUGGAAAAGCAGUUUCUAUUGAGCCCCCAAAUGAAGAGUGAGUGCAGAUGAAGAGGAGGCAGGACUCACAAGCCCUUGAACUUUAUUCCAGAUCUGUUAGCACCUACAGGACCCUGCACCAGGAUUUCAUCUGUACUAUCAGCUUCUUCAAAGAGAGAGAGGUUGUUGAAUUGAUAUUGGAAAAGCAGUUUCCCAUUGAGUCUCAAAUGAAGAGAGUGCAGAUGAAGAGGAGCUCUUCAUGUGGAUGUCUGAGCUCAUAUCAGGUGUCUGAAAGAGGCAGAUUCUGAGGAUUUGGGUCAUGAUGGCUGCCAAAGCUUCUACUCCUGACUUAAAGGGCAACAAUCCUAGGAGACCACCAGCACUUACAUCCCUGGUAGGACAUGACACCUGCUUAUGGCUCAGAAGUGACAAAAGAGAAUUAUCAGGAUGGCAGUCCUUAUAACCAGAUGCUUAUCAACAUUCUUCACUACAUUCUGAAGAUGAAUUUCUACAAGGGAAAUUGUUUAUAUUUGUUGUUGGGGAUAGAUAAGGAAAGAAGAAAAAGGCUCUGGUGAGAAACCCAUUGUACCUUCUGGAUAUGAUCACUACCCAAUUUUAUCAGUGUCAUUGAUCACUAACCCAGUGCCUCGUAUGGUGCCAGGCACAGAGUUACUCCAAGAAUGUACAAUAAUGGCUGGAUUCUCUUUCUCCCUGUGCAACUCUUCAUGCAUGUGACUGAACUUAUAUUAAGUGUCUGAAGGAGGUUCGUUCUGAGGAUCUGGGACAUGAUGGGUGCUGAAGCUUCUACUCAAGAUUUGAAGGGCAGCUGUCCUCAGGAGACCCCUGGCACUUCCCUCCAUGGUGGGAUGUGAUGCCUGAUUCCAGUGAGUUCAUAGAGCUGAACAAAAGUACGUUGUGGAAUAGCUCCUGUGAGGUUCACAACAUAGUCCGGAAGAUGAGAAACUACUUUUUUUAGUAACCUGGAUUCCCAUCUAAGAGAUGCCUUACUUUAUCGUAAAGCAAUGAGUUGUUCACUUGAGGAGGGAACUUCAUGUUUAACAUGUAUUUGCAACAAAUUUACAUACAUUUUCUGCCUGUAUGAAUAGUUGUCAGUGAUGCCCAUGAAUUUCUCAGAUGGAUGUUGAAGUAUACAGUUAGAAGGUUAGAAGAUCUUCCUAGCAAUCUGUGAUUACGGUAUGCAUUCUUCCAUGGUUUCUACGUUUUUGUCUAUUCUAUAAUGAAAUUUUCUAAGAAGCCAGAAAUUAAUUAAGUGCUACCUAAAAAUAUCAAAAUGUCAGGUACAAGAAUUUGGCAUUUUCAAAAUUAGUAAUUACAAUGUAAGUUUGCCCUAUUAUAAUGAUACCCAGCUAUGUCCAGUAACAUAACUAGAUUGUUCUGAAUACCGUUAUUAUUUCCCAAUAAUACAAACAUCACAAUUUCAGUUCUGUAGUACCUGGCCUACCUACCCUUCCCACUGCCUUGCCCCAGGUAAACACAGCAUGCCUGUCACUAUACAUUAUUUUACAUGCCUGGAAAUAUAUUUAAAUGGAAUCAUAGAGGUGGUUUCUUUUUUUUUUUUUUAUCAACACCUGGCUUUUUUCAUUCACUCCACUUAUUUUUAUAUUUAUCCAUUUUAUUGCAUUUAUCUAUUGAUAUACUUCAUUCUUUUUGAUUGCUAAAUACUAUUGCGGUAUACAACCACACUAAACAUUUUAUUAUCCAUCCAUUUGUCGAUGGACAUUUUGGUUGUUUCUCAUUUGGGGCUCUUGUAAAUAAAGCUGCUAUGAACAUUUGUGAAUAAGUCUUUUUGUGAAAAUAUGCAUUCUCAUUCAAGGGUCAAUACUUAGGAGUUCAAUCUCUGGAUCAUGUGGUAGA
rnacentral:lncRNA from 10 species